CCCAUAUCCCCACGAAGCCCUUAACGGUUCGUUACCGGAAUUCCCGCUCACAAAUCGCAAUCACUGUAUCUCCUCAUAACUAAGCCUUAUGAGAAUCAAACCAACUUCAAUCUCAUCAGAAAUCCUUUCACCUGAUCAAUCUACACGCCCCAUUUGUUGUUCUUGCGUUCUAAUCGAGCCCAGUCAACCUUCAAGCCAUUACUGUAAAGAAGCUGGGGUGAUAAUAUUCAGAUCAACAACCUUUGAAAUUCUUGAGAUUUUGUUGAGCACGUCGGUGGACCUUUGACUUGAGACUUUAGAAGUUCUAGACACUCGUUCAGGUAAUCAGGGGUGAUCGGGUCGUGCGCAGAGAGCGACUAGGCUUUGGAUCUCUGAAUUGAAGAUUUACUUAUGUCACACCCCGAUUUCCACGUGUUUCACCGGUGGGCCCGGUGGGGGAUUACCGUGACGAUGUUGGCAACAAUAUAGUCAAACCACACAAUUAUAU